AGCGAACGCUGGCGGCAGGCUUAACACAUGCAAGUCGAGCGGCCGUAGCAAUACGGCAGCGGCAGACGGGAGAGUAACACGUGGGAACGUACCCCUCAGUUCGGAACAACCAAGGGAGACUUUGGCUAAUACCGAAUACGUCCGUAAGGAGAAAGAUUUAUCGCUGAAGGAUCGGCCCGCGUCUGAUUAGCUAGUUGGUGAGGUAACGGCUCACCAAGGCGACGAUCAGUAGCUGGUCUGAGAGGAUGAUCAGCCUCACUGGGACUGAGACACGGCCCAGACUCCUACGGGAGGCAGCAGUGGGGAAUAUUGGACAAUGGGCGCAAGCCUGAUCCAGCCAUGCCGCGUGGAUGAUGAAGGCCUUAGGGUUGUAAAGUCCUUUUAACGGGGAAGAUAAUGACGGUACCCGUAGAAUAAGCCCCGGCUAACUUCGUGCCAGCCGCCGCAGUAA
rnacentral:rRNA from 1 species